CAGUAGCCGCGGUAAUACGUAGGGUGCAAGCGUUAAUCGGAAUUACUGGGCGUAAAGCGUGCGCAGGCGGUUCGCUAAGACAGAUGUGAAAUCCCCGGGCUUAACCUGGGAACUGCAUUUGUGACUGGCGGGCUAGAGUAUGGCAGAGGGGGGUAGAAUUCCACGUGUAGCAGUGAAAUGCGUAGAGAUGUGGAGGAAUACCGAUGGCGAAGGCAGCCCUCUGGGCCAAUACUGACGCUCAUGCACGAAAGCGUGGGGAGCAAACAGGAUUAGAUACCCGUGUAGUCCCUGUCUCUUAUAC
rnacentral:rRNA from 1 species